CAAGGAAGCUCCGCUUCAGUUGCUGCAAAUUGAAACUUCUUGGUAAUGACAGCUACUUAACUUUCAAAACCCUUUAAUAUUUCCAGGAAGCAAAGGCAACCAAAUACAAAAUAAGAAGAUACAGCCAUGCAACUCUUUGCAGAUGAUCAUCAAUGCUUCCAUGAAGUAGUUGAUCCUCCAUUGAUUGCAGAGAAAAGCUAACAAGAAGUUAAAAGUACGAGUCUACAUAUACCANUUUAAACACAAAGAGUUACGUACAACUUCGUAUACACAAGUACAUACCAUCAGCAAAAGAAACCAGUAUCAUCACAUGUUCAAGAUGGUAGGCUUAAGAAGAAGCUCCCUUGAAAACAAGGAAAUUGAGGGACCCCAUGGCAAAAUAGAUGAAAGUCCCUUGUGUGUGAGUAAAGAAACAACCAAAAUUUGAACCCACCACGCAUUGCCAUCCACCACCAUACAUCUUAUCAAAUUCCUUCUUGAUGUGGGCGGCAAUUGAGAUACAAUCAGAAACAUCAUAGACAUCAAGGGCUUGAGAAGCACAUGCCAUGGCUUGGAACUGCAUCUUCACUGGCAUGUCUGUUUCCUUCACCAUAGCUUUUCCUUCCAGCAUCUCGCCCUCUAUCUCGCUUGAAUCACAAAAGGUGGUACUUUCUUCACGUUGUAUCAUAUGAUACUGGGAAUUUGUAGCAGAGAGCCAGCAUCUGAUAACUAACGAGAAGCUUCCCUAUAUAUUUGAUGAGGAAGAAGAAGACGAGGGAUGAAAUAAUCA
rnacentral:misc_RNA from 1 species